rnacentral:rRNA from 1 species
GACGAACGCUGGCGGCGUGCUUAACACAUGCAAGUCGAACGGAAAGGCCCUGCUUUUGUGGGGUGCUCGAGUGGCGAACGGGUGAGUAACACGUGAGUAACCUGCCCUUGACUUUGGGAUAACUUCAGGAAACUGGGGCUCAUACCGGAUAGGAGCUCCUGCUGCAUGGUGGGGGUUGGAAAGUUUCGGCGGUUGGGGAUGGACUCGCGGCCUAUCAGCUUGUUGGUGGGGUAGUGGCUUACCAAGGCUUUGACGGGUAGCCGGCCUGAGAGGGUGACCGGCCACAUUGGGACUGAGAUACGGCCCAGACUCCUACGGGAGGCAGCAGUGGGGAAUAUUGCACGAUGGGCGGAAGCCGGAUGCAGCAACGCCGCGUGCGGGAUGACGGCCUUCGGGUUGUAAACCGCCUUCGCCUGUGACGAAGCGUGAGUGACGGUAAUGGGUAAAGAAGCACCGGCUAACUACGUG